rnacentral:rRNA from 1 species
CUGAUGCAGCCAUGCCGCGUGUAUGAAGAAGGCCUUCGGGUUGUAAAGUACUUUCAGCGGGGAGGAAGGGAGUAAAGUUAAUACCUUUGCUCAUUGACGUUACCCGCAGAAGAAGCACCGGCUAACUCCGUGCCAGCAGCCGCGGUAAUACGGAGGGUGCAAGCGUUAAUCGGAAUUACUGGGCGUAAAGCGCACGCAGGCGGUUUGUUAAGUCAGAUGUGAAAUCCCCGGGCUCAACCUGGGAACUGCAUCUGAUACUGGCAAGCUUGAGUCUCGUAGAGGGGGGUAGAAUUCCAGGUGUAGCGGUGAAAUGCGUAGAGAUCUGGAGGAAUACCGGUGGCGAAGGCGGCCCCCUGGACGAAGACUGACGCUCAGGUGCGAAAGCGUGGGGAGCAAACAGGAUU